GCCCGGGUGGUGGAAUGGCAUACACGGCGUCCUUAAAAGUCGCUGGCCCGUCAGGGCCAUGUGGGUUCGACUCCCACCCCGGGCA
rnacentral:tRNA from 1 species